ACUACUGCUGACGGUAUGCCAACGCCCAUCAGCUCUAGACACUGAAGGAUGGACAAUGAAGUACUGUGAAUAAGGAGAGGGCUGAGGGCCCUUGGAAAGAACCUGACUGUGAUUUGGAAUGAUGGCUGGUGGUCCCCAUCUGAAGGCUUUAAGGAAGACAGAAUCUCCAUUCCAGUUGGGUGCAGCCAAGAACACAUUGCUUUUUCUCCCUGGGGCUCACAGCUGGAGACCUACAGAAUCUUCCCAGGAAGGACAGGGUGUAUUGCAUUUUCCAAAGUUAGCAACAAAUGGAAUCUCUGACCGACUGACCUUCUGAUCUUUGCAUGACCAGCUCUGAAUAUCCUCCUGUACAGAGGUAUAGGGCCGAUGUGCCACUCUGGGAUGGGGAAACCGAGGCCCAGAGAUGUUAGGUAGCUUCUACCAACUGCUGAGCGGGGAACCAAGAAGCAGCCCCAGCCCAGAAGGUAAAAAGAGCAAAGGGGCACGGCCUUGCUUUGUAAGGAUGGUCCUGAGAACACAGGCGGGACUACAGCAGCAGCAUGCUUGGCAAACACCCCAGCCCUCCCCAGACUUCCUGAACCAGAAAUUCUGAGGGUCUCUACUUCUUCUCAGUGGGUGCACUUGUACUGCCUGGUUGGGGAAGCGUCCAUGCCAACUCCUCGUUACUCCAUCUCUGUCCUGGUGAUUCACCGGAAGAGGUGCCUGGAUCCAAGUGCACGUGAGCACUUGCUGGUGGGUGUUGUGGACUCUCCUCCCAGGCAGGGGCUGCUGUGCUCACCCUCCGGCUGUGGAGCUGGUCCUUAGUGCCUCUGGCUUCUCACCUGUAAACUGGCUGUUGUGGGAGUCAAGCAAGUUGGUACUGGUCAAAGACGUAAAACAGUGUCUGGGACUUAAUGAUUAUGCUUUAAGUGGGAACUCUUAUGAUGAUUACCCUCACCUUCAAGGCCAAGCAAACCAGCGUCUGGCUGGGAAGCUCUGCCUGCCACCUGGCCCGGUGCCUCUUCUUUCCUCUUUGAGAGCAGAAGCAGCUACAGCCUCAUCCCAGAGCACAGCGAGGUUGAGUACAGUCAAGGGGGGAGACGAGUAAGGAAGGACACGAGAUAGGACCUUCAGACAGAGGAACAGAGGGUGCAAGGAAGGGACUGUGGUGACAGCCCUGGAGGUGCAUCCCACUGUUGGAGUGAUUCUGGGAGGGGCUGAGAGUGAUGGGGCAGGUGUGCUCCUCUCAUGAGGAGCAUUUGAGUAGAGACCUGCACAGAGUGAGGAACAAACCUUGAUAUUUGGGUCUGAAAUUUCAAAGUCCUUGGUCAGGGCUCACUUGCUGCAUGCCAGACUCUGCAGGGAGGCCCAUGUGAUUCCAGCAGGGUGGGGGCUGGCAGGAAGGUAGAGGCGAGGCAGAGUUCUGGGAGAGGCAGGUGCUAAGUCAA